UUUAAUUUUGCAGAUUAUUUCAAAGAUCAGUUUAUAGUUUGUUGGCAGUGGUUUGCUCCUCGCCAACUUACACUUGUAGUGACUUGUUAAGUUAGUCUAUUGUGAGAUUGACUCGCCAAGUGUGUUCUUGUGUGGUACAGUGAUUCUUGUAAAUAGCUGGCAAACACCAUCUUUCAGGUCUAAAAUUAGUAGCUUGGCCUCCCCCUCCACCUGACUCGAAUCCAGAUGAGACAAUAAGUGAACAGGGACCAGUAUAUGCGCAAGGUCCCCCGCGAGGUCAAGGACUGAUCAGACCGAGCCAGUACCACCCGCCUCCCUCCACACAGCCACCUCCGCCGUCGACGAUCACCCUCCGCCAGUCGGCCCCCUUCAGUCAGGCGCCGCCCCCCGUCUUCAUGUCGCAGCCAGCCACCGCCACCGCCCAGGGCGGACACAAGAUGCGAGGCGACGACAAGUGGCCGCCAGAGACCGUCAAACAGCAAGCCGCCGCUGAAAACGAAGCGAGACUCGCGUUAGCCAAAGGCCCAGCAUUCAGGCCAAGGAAAGUGCAGAAAGAUUACAGCGGUUUCUUUGCUCAAAACGCCCUGAACUCCACCUACCCUGGCUACAGAGCUCCACCCGGCACACAGCACUACGAGGAAGGCACAUCCGACCUUUGAACUUCUUCUCAACUUUUUAUACUUUCAUCAAAUCGAGAACAAAUUUGAGAACAUGCAACCUCUGUCACUUAAGGCAGCACUUUUACACUGAUUCUUACCUAUUUUUAAUUAAAAUUAUACUUUGAUAUUUAUUUUUGAAAUUAAACAAUUAUGAUAAUAUAUUUUCAUCAAGUAAAAUAAUUAUUUUCUGUCAACUAUUAUUUGAUAAUUUUGCCUUCUUAUCUAUAAUCAAUACAAUAAACAGUCAACUCGAUGUUAAUAAAAGGAUGUUUAGGAGAAAAAGUAAAUAUUGGAGACUAAGAACUAAGUAAAGGUGGAUUGCUUUGCAAGAUGACAAAAAUAAGAAGAAUAAAUAUUAUUUGUUCAAUUUCGAUGAUGCUGUGAUGAAACUAAUUUACCAUCAAAAUGAACAAAAAAUGUUGUAAUUAUUAUUCUGGAAAUUAAAAGCUUAUAAUUAUUGUGCUUUUUGUUUCCAUGAAAUCAAUUAUUAUUGAUAUAAGAUGUUAUGGAGCUGAUAUGGUGAUUUGAUAAUACGAUAUGAUUUCGAUUGUUAGCUGAAUGCUUCAAAACAUUUCAUACAAUAAUUAUUGAAUGCUUUCGCUUAGGAAUAAUGUGAUGCUAUAUAUGCACUGCUUUUGUACAUAAAAUGUUAAUAAACUGAUUGAAUAGUACCUUUUUUGUAUAAUUUUUCAACAAAUUUAUUAUAAAUUUUAUAUAAAUUUUCAAAGUAUUACCGUAAUGAAUAGGUAAUGAAUUACCGUAAUUUCGAGAGAGUUUUACAACGUGUAACACAAAGCUUUCGAGAAAAUUACCAAAUUCUAAUGAAUCAAACAUACGAUAUCUAAAAGAAAAACAUUUCACCAAUAUUAUGCGGUAUUUUGUGGAGGUUAUUCUUUAAUCUGGUAAUCAUUAUGAAAUUAUCUAUAUCUAUGAUUCUAUGGUAUCAUAUUUAUUCACUUAUCCGGGAACCUUUCAGUUUAGCAUGAUGCAUAUUGCAUAAUAUUGCUAAGCUAGAGUUUGACAUUAUAAUUAUUGUUAUUUGUUUCACGCAUUUUAAAUUACCCACCGGACAUAGAAAAAUAUCAAUUAAGCUGUUUCAAUUUAUACUCUUGAUUUCCACUAUAUAAUAUCCAACUCUUAACUGAUACGAUAGUUAUUUGAUGGAAUAGUGUCUAGUUUGUAAUAGGUCGAUUUCCUUUUUUCGAGUUUAUAAGAUGUAAUGAAUUGAUUCUGUAUAUUUUAUUACAAGAGGCUAAUUAUAAUUGAUGGAUUACAUGCAUGACAUGGAAAAUUAUCAUCUUGGUUUGACUUUAUUUGAAAAAAUCACGAAGAGAUCAGUUUUGGAAUGCAAUAUUAUUCAGUUACGAUUACGAACCGAAGCUUUUACGCUCCCGCCCCAUGAUUUAGAGUCCUAUGACAAGUGUUUUGACUCAGGGAUUGAAAAACAGAAGACUGUAUAGAUACAAUAAUCGUAAUACUUGUAUCAUUAUGAAUUCUAUAUGAUUCAUGAAUAUCAUAUCAUAAAUCAGAACAUAACAUAUUUUAUCAUAACAUCUUUUCAUAUUGUAGGUCAUAUCUAGGCAUUCACAUGCACCCUAGUUAUUUCAAUAUCGGUUCACAAAUCAAUUCACAAAAAUGAAGUCUAGUAAUUCAUCAACUGUAAAUAUUUUUCGACAGCCUAUAUGAUUGAACAUUUUUUACAAAAUAUUACAUGUGAAAUGUAUUGCACUCACGAAAUGACCUAGCAAACAGGUUGCAACCGACUUCUGCUUAGUUUCUUCAAUCAGAAUAAAAAUAUAAAUUUAAUCAAUGGAAUCUUCAAAUUAAGCACACAUCACUCAAAAUAUUUCGCUCAUCAGAAUACAGUGAUUAGUAGAUUUUUUCUAUUCUAUGAGCCAAAUAAAAAUGCAAAAGUGACUUCAAAUCAAAUCAAAUCCUUUACUG